GUGCUGGCUUCUGCAACACACAUACUAAAACUGGAAUGAUACAGAGAAGAUUAGUAUGACUCUGCUCUCGGAUGAUGCACAAAUUCAUGAAGCAUUCCAUAUAUUG